ACCGUCGCAAUCUGCGCGUACUCGCUUUCAUACGGCCGCAAGGCAAAUUUCGCGAGUGGGAAAUUCGGUGAUACACUCCGCCGCUGAAAAAAUUCUCUUGAGAGAUUCCAGGGCGCGAAAGCGCUGGGCACGGCCAUCAGAAAUCACCGGGGAAUUUAUUUCCCGGAUGGGAGCGCCGUGCUGGCGGUUGACAGGCAUUUUUCACAAUGUCUAGUUGUUGAGUGCAAUGCGCAGAUUUUACAUUGUAAAACACUCGAUACCGAUCAUUGCGGCAGU
rnacentral:RNase_P_RNA from 2 species